rnacentral:rRNA from 1 species
GACGAACGCUGGCGGCGUGCUUAACACAUGCAAGUCGAACGGAAAGGCCCUGCUUUUGUGGGGUGCUCGAGUGGCGAACGGGUGAGUAACACGUGAGUAACCUGCCCUUGACUUUGGGAUAACUUCAGGAAACUGGGGCUAAUACCGGAUAGGAGCUCCUGCCGCAUGGUGGGGGUUGGAAAGUUUCGGCGGUUGGGGAUGGACUCGCGGCUUAUCAGCUUGUUGGUGGGGUAGUGGCUUACCAAGGCUUUGACGGGUAGCCGGCCUGAGAGGGUGACCAGCCACAUUGGGACUGAGAUACGGCCCAGACUCCUACGGGAGGCAGCAGUGGGGAAUAUUGCACAAUGGGCGGAAGCCUGAUGCAGCAACGCCGCGUGCGGGAUGACGGCCUUCGGGUUGUAAACCGCCUUCGCCUGUGACGAAGCGUGAGUGACGGUAAUGGGUAAAGAAGCACCGGCUAACUACGUG